AUUGAACGCUGGCGGCAGGCCUAACACAUGCAAGUCGAGCGAGUGGCGGACGGGUGAGUAAUGUCUGGGAAACUGCCUGAUGGAGGGGGAUAACUACUGUAAACGGUAGCUAAUACCGCAUACCAUCAGAUGUGCCCAGCUGGGAUUAGCUAGUGGGUGGGGUAAUGGCUCACCAAGGCGACGAUCCCUAGCUGGUCUGAGAGGAUGACCAGCCACACGGGAACUGAGACACGGUCCAGACUCCUACGGGAGGCAGCAGUGGGGAAUAUUGCACAAUGGGCGCAAGCCUGAUGCAGCCAUGCCGCGUGUGUGAAGAAGGCCUUCGGGUUGUAAAGCACUUUCAGUGGGGAGGCGUUACUCGAAGAAGAAGCACCGGCUAACUCCGUGCCAGCCGCCGCGGUAAUAC
rnacentral:rRNA from 1 species